GGUUAACCCAUUUUUUUUAUAAACAUAGCAGUUUCAGAGAAACUGCUAUGUUUAUAAAUGGGUUAAUCCAGCCCUCAAAUCCUCUAGUGGCUGUUUCAUUGACAGCCGCUAGAGGCGCUUGCGUGAUUCUCACUGUGAAAAUCACAGUGAGAACACGCAAGCGUCCAUAGGAAAGCAUUGUAAUUGCGGCGUGUGCACAUUCAGCCGAAAGGGAGGAGAAGAGGAG